AUUGAACGCUGGCGGCAGGCCUAACACAUGCAAGUCGAGCGGAGCGGCGGACGGGUGAGUAAUGACUAGGAAUCUGCCUGGUAGUGGGGGAUAACGUCCGGAAACGGGCGCUAAUACCGCACACUUUCUGAUGAGCCUAGGUCGGAUUCGCUAGUUGGUGGGGUAAAGGCCUACAAAGGCGACGAUCCGUAACUGGUCUGAGGGGAUGAUCAGGCACACUGGAACUGAGACACGGUCCAGACGCCUACGGGAGGCAGCAGGGGGGAAUAUGGGGCAAUGGGCGAAAGCCUGAUACAGCCAUGCCGCGGGUGUGAAGAAGGUCUUCGGAUUGUAAAGCUCUUUAAGUUGGGAGGCGGUACCAACAGAAUAAGCACCGGCUAACUUCGUGCCAGCAGCCGCGGUAAUAC
rnacentral:rRNA from 1 species